rnacentral:rRNA from 1 species
UACAGAGGGUGCAAGCGUUAAUCGGAAUUACUGGGCGUAAAGCGCACGUAGGUGGAUAUUUAAGUCGGAAGUGAAAGCCCUGGGCUUAACCUGGGAAUUGCCUCCGAUACUGGAUAUCUAGAGUAUGGUAGAGGACAGUGGAAUUUCCGGUGUAGCGGUGAAAUGCGUAGAUAUCGGAAGGAACACCAGUGGCGAAGGCGGCUAUCUGGACCAAUACUGACACUUAGGUGCGAAAGCGUGGGGAGCAAACAGG